rnacentral:lncRNA from 1 species
GGGCUGACGUGGGCAGCGGCGACCGCGGCACUCGGUGCGCUCUACUGGGUCUUCUGUGUGUCAGCGGGGCUCUCCCCACCCGCCCUCACCCCACUCCCGAGCUCUAGGUGCCCCCGCAGCCCCUGCCCCCGGAGCCCCGGGCGUCCUCCCGCGCUCCCCCUGCCCCCGGAGCCCCGGGCGUCCUCCCGCGCUCCCCCUGCCCCCGGGGCCCAGGGCGUCCUCCCGCGCUCCCCCUGCCCCCGGGGCCCAGGGCGUCCUCCCGCGCUCCCCCUGCCCCCGGGGCCCAGGGCGUCCUCCCGCGCUCCCCCUGCCCCCGGGGCCCAGGGCGUCCUCCCGCGCUCCCCCUGCCCCCGGGGCCCAGGGCGUCCUCCCGCGCUCCCCCUGCCCCCGGGGCCCAGGGCGUCCUCCCGCGCUCCCCCUGCCCCCGGGGCCCAGGGCGUCCUCUCGCGCUCCCCCUGCCCCCGGGGCCCAGGGCGUCCUCCCGCGCUCCCCCUGCCCCCGGGGCCCCGGGCGUCCUCCCGCGCACCGCCUGCCCCCGGGGCCCAGGGCGUCCUCCCGCGCUCCCCCUGCCCCCGGGGCCCAGGGCGUCCUCUCGCGCUCCCCCUGCCCCCGGGGCCCAGGGCGUCCUCCCGCGCUCCCCCUGCCCCCGGGGCCCAGGGCGUCCUCCCGCGCUCCCCCCUGCCCCCGGGGCCCAGGGCGUCCUCCCGCGCUCCCCCUGCCCCCGCGGCCCCGGGCGUCCUCCCGCGCUCCCCCUGCCCCCGGAGCCCCGGGCGUCCUCCCGCGCUCCCCCUGCCCCCGGGGCCCAGGGCGUCCUCCCGCGCUCCCCCUGCCCCCGGGGCCCAGGGCGUCCUCCCGCGCUCCCCCUGCCCCCGGGGCCCAGGGCGUCCUCCCGCGCUCCCCCUGCCCCCGGGGCCCAGGGCGUCCUCCCGCGCUCCCCCUGCCCCCGGGGCCCAGGGCGUCCUCCCGCGCUCCCCCUGCCCCCGGGGCCCAGGGCGUCCUCCCGCGCUCCCCCUGCCCCCGGGGCCCAGGGCGUCCUCUCGCGCUCCCCCUGCCCCCGGGGCCCAGGGCGUCCUCCCGCGCUCCCCCUGCCCCCGGGGCCCCGGGCGUCCUCCCGCGCACCGCCUGCCCCCGGGGCCCAGGGCGUCCUCCCGCGCUCCCCCCCCCUGCCCCCGGGGCCCAGGGCGUCCUCUCGCGCUCCCCCUGCCCCCGGGGCCCAGGGCGUCCUCCCGCGCUCCCCCUGCCCCCGGGGCCCAGGGCGUCCUCCCGCGCUCCCCCUGCCCCCGGGGCCCAGGGCGUCCUCCCGCGCUCCCCCUGCCCCCGGGGCCCAGGGCGUCCUCCCGCGCUCCCCCUGCCCCCGGAGCCCAGGGCGUCCUCCCGCGCUCCCCCUGCCCCCGGGGCCCAGGGCGUCCUCCCGCGCUCCCCCUGCCCCCGGGGCCCCGGGCGUCCUCCCGCGCUCCCCCUGCCCCCGGGGCCCCGGGCGUCCUCCCGCGCUCCGCCUGCCCCCGGGGCCCAGGGCGUCCUCCCGCGCUCCGAGCUCUAGGUGCCCCCCGCAACCCCUGCCCCGGGGGGCCUCCCGAGCUCCCCUCCCCAGCCCUCCCCCGUGCACACUCCACAGUCCCCGCACUCGGCGCCAUUCAGAAGCCACGCCGUGCUUAUACUAAAAGAAUAAAGAUUUUUAUUAAGCAUUGUAAGUUGCAUUCGAUAGCCUCCGGAACAGCACGCCACGACCCACCUACAAUCAGUCAGACCCAACAGCAGUUCAUUCUUGCACAAUCCAUGAGUUAG